UAUUCGUUUAAAUUUUUGUUAUUCUGUGAUUGGUUUGACCGAUGUCGACUGAAAGCCAACUAAAAGGGCUAAUAUUCUUUCUUGGUAUCAGAAAUAUCUGGAAAUAUCGAUACUUGGUACAAUAUCAACCCAUCGUAUCCCUUCAUUGAUUUUAUCAUUUAUGUACAGAUCAGAAGCGUGCAAGAUUCUAAAAUCGAAGCUCAAUUUCAGCUGUCAGUUUAAGGUGAAAACCUGCUGUAAAAUUUAUCGAGAUAUUUGGGCACCAGUGUAUUUAAACAUUAUAGCCAGACAUGGGGACGAUACCGAAAGGCACUGAGUACAUCAAAACGGUUCCUUUUUUCUUGAAGAUAGCAGAAUUUGUUAUACUGUUGGUUGC